AAAUUGAAGAGUUUGAUCAUGGCUCAGAUUGAACGCUGGCGGCAGGCCUAACACAUGCAAGUCGAACGGUAACAGGAAGCAGCUUGCUGCUUUGCUGACGAGUGGCGGACGGGUGAGUAAUGUCUGGGAAACUGCCUGAUGGAGGGGGAUAACUACUGGAAACGGUGGCUAAUACCGCAUAACGUCGCAAGACCAAAGAGGGGGACCUUCGGGCCUCUUGCCAUCAGAUGUGCCCAGAUGGGAUUAGCUUGUUGGUGAGGUAACGGCUCACCAAGGCGACGAUCCCUAGCUGGUCUGAGAGGAUGACCAGCCACACUGGAACUGAGACACGGUCCAGACUCCUACGGGAGGCAGCAGUGGGGAAUAUUGCACAAUGGGCGCAAGCCUGAUGCAGCCAUGCCGCGUGUAUGAAGAAGGCCUUCGGGUUGUAAAGUACUUUCAGCGGGGAGGAAGGUGUUGUGGUUAAUAACCGCAGCAAUUGACGUUACCCGCAGAAGAAGCACCGGCUAACUCCGUGCCAGCAGCCGCGGUAAUACGGAGGGUGCAAGCGU
rnacentral:rRNA from 1 species